rnacentral:rRNA from 1 species
UGGGGAAUCUUGGACAAUGGGCGCAAGCCUGAUCCAGCCAUGCCGCGUGGAUGAUGAAGGCCUUAGGGUUGUAAAAUCCUUUCGUUGGGGACGAUAAUGACGGUACCCAAAGAAGAAGCUCCGGCUAACUUCGUGCCAGCAGCCGCGGUAAUACGAAGGGGGCUAGCGUUGUUCGGAUUUACUGGGCGUAAAGCGCGUGUAGGCGGACUUGUAAGUUGGGGGUGAAAUCCCGAGGCUCAACCUCGGAACUGCCUCCAAAACUACAAAUCUGGACCUAAGUAGAGGCAAGUGGAAUUGCGAGUGUAGAGGUGAAAUUCGUAGAUAUUCGCAGGAACACCAGUGGCGAAGGCGACUUGCUGGACUUAUGGUGACGCUGAGGCGCGAAAGCGUGGGGAGCAAACAGGAUUAGAUACCCCAGUAGUCCCUGAGCGGGCUGGCAAGGCGCAU